UGGGGAAUAUUGCGCAAUGGCCGAAAGGCUGACGCAGCGACGCCGCGUGUGGGAGGAAGCCCUUCGGGGUGUAAACCACUGUCGGGAGGGACGAAUCCCGGACGGGCAAAUAGCCCGGACGAAUGACGGUACCUCCCAAGGAAGCACCGGCUAACCCUGUGCCAGCAGCCGCGGUAAUACAGGGGGUGCAAGCGUUGUUCGGAAUUACUGGGCGUAAAGCGCGGGCAGGUGGCCUUUUAAGUCCUUUGUGAAAUCCCGGAGCUCAACUCCGGAUGUGCAUAGGAUACUGGAAGGCUAGAGACUGGUAGAGGCGAGCGGAAUUCCUGGUGUAGCGGUGGAAUGCGUAGAUAUCAGGAAGAACACCGGUGGCGAAGGCGGCUCGCUGGGCCAGUUCUGACACUCAUCCGCGAAAGCGUGGGGAGCAAA
rnacentral:rRNA from 1 species